rnacentral:rRNA from 1 species
GACGAACGCUGGCGGCGUGCUUAACACAUGCAAGUCGAACGGAAAGGCCCUGCUUUUGUGGGGUGCUCGAGUGGCGAACGGGUGAGUAACACGUGAGUAACCUGCCCUUGACUUUGGGAUAACUUCAGGAAACUGGGGCUAAUACCGGAUAGGAGCUCCUGCUGCAUGGUGGGGGUUGGAAAGUUUCGGCGGUUGGGGAUGGACUCGCGGCUUAUCAGCUUGUUGGUGGGGGAGUGGCUUACCAAGGCUUUGACGGGUAGCCGGCCUGGGAGGGUGACCGGCCACAUUGGUACUGAGAUACGGCCCAGACUCCUACGGGAGGCAGCAGUGGGGAAUAUUGCACAAUGGGCGGAAGCCUGAUGCAGCAACGCCGCGUGCGGGAUGACGGCCUUCGGGUUGUAAACCGCUUUCGCCUGUGACGAAGCGUGAGUGACGGUAAUGGGUAAAGAAGCACCGGCUAACUACGUG